rnacentral:rRNA from 1 species
UACAGAGGGUGCAAGCGUUAAUCGGAAUUACUGGGCGUAAAGGGCGCGUAGGUGGAUUGAUAAGCGAGACGUUAAAACCGAGGGCUUAACCUUUGGAGGUCGUCUCGAACUGUUUAUCUAGAGUACGAGAGAGGGGAGUGGAAUUUCCGGAGUAGCGGUGAAAUGCAUAGAUACCGGAAGGAACAUCAGAGGCGAAGGCGACUUCCUGGCUCGAUACUGACACUGAGGCGCGAAAGCGUGGGGAGCGAACAGG